rnacentral:rRNA from 1 species
GACAUGUGGACAGUAUGGGAGUGAGAAUGUUGGCAUGAGUAGCGAGAUGUGGGUGAGAAUCCCACAGGCCGUAAACCCAAGGUUUCCAGGGGAAGGUUCGUCCGCCCUGGGUUAGUCGGGACCUAAGCUGAGGCCGAAAGGCGUAGGUGAUGGACAACAGGUUGAUAUUCCUGUACUACCGAUAACCGUUUGAGAGAAGGGAUGACACAGUAGGAUAAGCUAAGCACACUGUUGGUUAUGUGUGCCCAAGCAUUGAGGCAGUCAAAGUAGGCAAAUCCGCUUUGAUAAUGCUGGGAUGUGAUGGGGAGCGAAAUUUAGUAGCGAAGUAGCUGAUUUCACACUGUCAAGAAAAGUCUCUAUCGAGGUUAAAGGUACCCGUACCGCAAACCGACACAGGUGGGUGAGGAGAGUAUCCUAAGGCCAGCGAGAGAACUGUUGUUAAGGAACUCGGCAAAAUGACCCCGUAACUUAGGGAUAAGGGGUGCCACCAUCAGGUGGCCGCAGAGAAUAGGCCCAAGCGACUGUUUACCAAAAACAUAGGUUUCUGCUAAGUCGCAAGACGAUGUAUAGGAGCUGACGCCUGCCCGGUGCUGGAAGGUUAAGGGGAUCUGUUAGAGCAAUCGAAGCAGUGAACUUAAGCCCCAGUAAACGGCGGCCGUAACUAUAACGGUCCUAAGGUAGCGAAAUUCCUUGUCGGGUAAGUUCCGACCCGCACGAAAGGCGUAACGAUUUGGGCACUGUCUCAACAACAGACUCGGUGAAAUUGUAAUUCCGGUGAAGAUGCCGGAUACCUGCGACAGGACGGAAAGACCCCAUGGAGCUU